rnacentral:rRNA from 1 species
UACGUAGGGUGCAAGCGUUGUCCGGAAUUAUUGGGCGUAAAGAGCUCGUAGGCGGUUUGUCGCGUCGGCUGUGAAAACCCGGGGCUCAACCCCGGGCCUGCAGUCGAUACGGGCAAACUAGAGUGCGGUAGGGGAGACUGGAAUUCCUGGUGUAGCGGUGAAAUGCGCAGGUAUCAGGAGGAACACCGGUGGCGAAGGCGGGUCUCUGGGCCGUAACUGACGCUGAGGAGCGAAAGCGUGGGGAGCGAACAGG